rnacentral:rRNA from 2 species
UCGACCUGAGCUCAGGCAAGAUUACCCGCUGAACUUAAGCAUAUCAAUAAGCGGAGGAAA